AGAGAAAAUCAAUUUUUUUCUUCAGAAUUUUAACAAUGCUUCUUUCUGCUGAGGACUGCAUUAACUAGAUCUUGGAAGAAUUUCCUAGGAGGCUUAUAGAACCUCAACUGCAAAACCUAACAAAGAGAAAAAGAGAAGGGGAAAAUCUGUGACCAUGGGGAGAUGCCGUCUCAUCUAAGUACAGUACAGAAAUGCUUCCUUCUUUGGUUUCAGAGUUACUAAACAUUGCUUCUCUAAAUAAGAUAAAAGAAACAAAGCAAUAAGAAAUGGGAGCCUGAUUCUACUGAGUCAGUGCUUGGUGAGAAAAAAUCCACCAGAAGGAAGCUUCAGCUUUGAAUACGCAGACGGACUCCGAGAGCAGGCUUUUUGAGGUGUCAUGACAACAUUGGACAUGCAGCUAUCUUGCUUUGAUUCUUGGAUAACUUUCUUGACUUUUCACCUUGCAAAGUAGCCCAUCUUGGUGGCCUGGCCUCAGUUAUCAUCACUCCAGGGGAAUCCUAAUCAGAAGAGCCACCAAGACCCCUGAGGAGGGCAGGCAACUGGAGCCUGAAAGCUUCUUUCUGGUGUGUCUCUGGGGAUUUUCCCUGACUGCAGUGCUACUUGGUCUUUCAUAGAUGUGGCACAGAGGUUAUGACCCUGCAUCUGAUGUUCCUGAUGAGCUGCAUGUGUUCCUGGAUAUGAUGGAGGCGAGCCUGAUGGUGAUAUUCCUUCUAUAGAAAAACUGACCUCUCCUUUUCCUGCCAAAAAUCUAGGGUUCAUAAAUAAAAAACAGAGAGCAUCCAUUAUCCUUGGUGUAUUAUUCAUGACACCAGAAAAGAACCUCGGCAAUCACGAACUGUUUCAGUUGGAAAAAACAAAAAAGAAAGUCACAGAACCUCUCAAUGGAGGGAAAAGGCCCAUGAAGAGGAGGGGUGUCUGCAGGAAGGAAGUGGAGGGAUCAUCUCUCAGCUGCCCAAAAG
ensembl:lncRNA